rnacentral:tRNA from 1 species
AUUCAUAUAGUUUAUAUUAGAACAUAACAUUUUCAAUGUUAAAGGGUCCUGACUAUGAAUA